rnacentral:rRNA from 1 species
CAGCCGCCGCGGUAAUACCAGCUCUCCGAGUGGUGUGGACGUUUAUUGGGCCUAAAGCAUCCGUAGCUGGCUNRGUUAGUCCCCUGUUAAAUCCACCGAAUUAAUCGUUGGAUUGCGGGGGAUACUGCUUGGCUAGGGGACGAGAGAGGCAGACGGUAUUUCCGGGGUAGGGGUGAAAUCCUAUAAUCCCGGGAAGACCACCAGUGGCGAAGGCUGUCUGCUAGAACGCGCCCGACGGUGAGGGAUGAAAGCUGGGGGAGCGAACCGGAUUAGAUACCCGGGUAGUCCCAGCUGUAAACGAUGCAGACUAGGUGUUUGGACGGCCACGUGCCGUUCUAGUGCCGCAGGGAAGCUGUUAAGUCUGCCGCCUGGGGAGUACGAUCGCAAGAUUGAAACUUAAAGGAAUUGGCGGGGGAGCACA